rnacentral:precursor_RNA from 1 species
GAGGACCGUAUUCAUGGAAGAGGAUUGAACAGAAGCAGAUGAAUAUAUGGGAGAUGAAGUAGACAGUAUGUUGGAUAAAUCUGGAGUAAAGAACCCAGCAAUUGGUAAAGAUGAGAAUAUAUCGCCUCAAGUAAAAGGAGAUGAAGACAUGGGAGAUGAAAUUGACAGUAUGUUGGCUACAUCUGGAGGUCUUUUCUCCUGAGAACACGGGACUCCAGCAUCUUCGGAUUCUGCUCUUGGAGGUGUGAGUCCCUGCCUCUCUGCACAGGGGAACUUAUGUCUCUCCACAUGUCCGCAAAUGUCUACCCAAGAUUAUACAUCUUCCAAAGGCUUUCAAAUACUUCUUUACAUAAACAAGGGGUUUGCCCCACAUCCUCUAUAUUGCAGAAAACAAGACUAGGCUCUACCUCUGUAGAUCAAGCACGACUGAAAUCCGUGCUCUCAAAAGAUGCUGGGGAGAAAGAGUGCCAUUCUUCACAAAUGCUGCUGCAUCAUUGGACUGAAAGUGAAUGGCCCAUGUGUUGCCACUGAUGUGAGCCAUUUGCCUGUUGUGCUUCA